UAACUGCUACUAUAUAGUGACAGACCAUUGUGCGAAGGGAAAUCUCUCUCAGAAGAUACAAGAGCAGGUGACAAACCCUACAGAAGAGUACUCUGAGAAGAUUAUGGACUGGUUUGUCAAGAUCUGCAUGGCCCUGAAGCAUGUACAUGACCAGGGCCUUCUUCACAGAGAACUGAGACCCCAGAGCAUACUUCUCACAGAAUUUGAAACACUUCGUUUGGGAGCGUUUGGAAGUGUCAAUGAAAAG